GAUGAACGCUAGCGGCAGGCCUAACACAUGCAAGUCGAGGGGCAGCGGGAAAAGCUUGCUUUUUGCCGGCGACCGGCGCACGGGUGCGUAACGCGUAUACAAUUUGCCUUAUACAGGGAGGAUAGCCCGGAGAAAUUCGGAUUAAUAUCCCAUAAUAUUGUGUAAUCGCCUGAUUAUAUAAUUAAAGACUACGGCGGUAUAAGAUGAGUAUGCGUCUGAUUAGCUAGUUGGUGAGGUAACGGCUCACCAAGGCGACGAUCAGUAGGGGGCCGUGAGAGGGUUAUCCCCCACACUGGUACUGAGACACGGACCAGACUCCUACGGGAGGCAGCAGUGAGGAAUAUUGGUCAAUGGAGGCAACUCUGAACCAGCCAUGCCGCGUGUAGGAAGAAUGCCCUAUGGGUUGUAAACUACUUUUAUUGGGGAAGAAACCCUUCUACGUGUAGAAGGCUGACGGUACCCAAGGAAUAAGGACCGGCUAACUCCGUGCCAGCAGCCGCGGUAAAGUCAGUG
rnacentral:rRNA from 1 species